CCUCUCCUUUUGUCAGACUCUCAGUCUCUGUCUUCCUCCUCAGACACCUCUCCUAAUUUAUUCAGGGAACCCACUAACCCCAGGUCUGUCUCUACCAUUAGAUACGCUCACACACACACACACACACAUACACGCGCGCAUGCAGGCACGCACGCACACACACACACACACACAUUCCUUACUCCACUAUUAGACCACAGAUCUGGGACAGAGAGAGCAGAGUGUAGCCUGUUUACCAUAGGAGUUUACAAACAGAUUUGGGACCAGGCUGAGCAGAACAAUAUAGGACUGGGGAUGGCAGACUACACUGGAGAAGGCAGACUACACUGGAGAUGGUAGACUAGACUGGAGAUGGUAGACUAGACUGGAGAAGAUAGACUACACUGGAGAUGGUAGACUAGACUGGAGAUGGUAGACUAGAAUGGAGAUGGCAGACUAGACUGGAGAUGGUAGACUGGAGAUGGUAGACUACACUGGAGAAGGCAGACUAGACUGGAGAAGGCAGACUAGACUGGAGAUGGCAGACUAGACUGGAGAUGGUAGACUAGACUGGAGAUGGUAGACUGGACUGGAGAUGGCAGACUAGACUGGAGAUGGCAGACUGGACUGGAGAUGGCAGACUGGACUGGAGAUGGCAGACUAGACUGGAGAUGGCAGACUAGACUGGAGAUGGCAGACUAGACUGGGGAUGGCAGACUGGGGAUGGUAGACUACACUGGAGAUAGCAGACUAGACUGGAGAUGGCAGACUAGACUGGAGAUAGCAGACUAGACUGGAGAUGGUAGACUACACUGGAGAUAGCAGACUAGACUGGAGAUGGCAGACUACACUGGAGAUAGCAGACUAGACUGGAGAUGGCAGACUAGACUGGAGAUGGCAGACUGGAGAUGGCAGACUGGGGAUGGUAGACUACACUGGAGAUGGUAGACUACACUGGAGAAGGCAGACUAGACUGGAGAUGGCAGACUAGACUGGAGAUGGCAGACUAGACUGGAGAUGGCAGACUACACUGGAGAUGGUAGACUAGACUGGAGAUGGUAGACUAGACUGGAGAAGGCAGACUAUACUGGAGAUGGUAGACUAGACUGGAGAUGGCAGACUACACUGGAGAUGGUAGACUAGACUGGAGAUGGUAGACUAGACUGGAGAAGGCAGACUAUACUGGAGAUGGUAGACAAGCAUUUCGCCACACUCGCAUUAACAUCUGCUAACCAUGUGUAUGUGACAAAUACAAUUUGAUUUGAUUUAGACUGGAGAUGGUAGACUAGACUGGAGAUGGUAGACUAGACUGGAGAUGGUAGACUAGACUGGAGAAGGCAGACUAGACUGGAGAUGGUAGACUAGACUGGAGAUGGUAGACUAGAAUGGAGAAGGCAGACUGGAGAUGGCAGACUGGGGAUGGUAGACUACACUGGAGAUGGUAGACUAGACUGGAGAUGGUAGACUACACUGGAGAUGGUAGACUACACUGGAGAUGGUAGACUAGACUGGAGAUGGUAUACUAGACUGGAGAUGGUAGACUAGACUGGAGAUGGUAGACUAGACUGGAGAAGGCAGACUACACUGGAGAUGGUAGACUAGACUGGAGAUGGUAGACUAGACUGGAGAUGGUAGACUAGACUGGAGAUGGUAGACUAGACUGGAGAUGGUAGACUAGACUGGAGAUGGUAGACUAGACUGGAGAAGGCAGACUACACUGGAGAUGGUAGACUAGACUGGAGAAGGCAGACUACACUGGAGAUGGUAGACUAGACUGGAGAUGGCAGACUACACUGGAGAUGGUAGACUAGACUGGAGAUGGUAGACUAGACUGGAGAUGGUAGACUAGACUGGAGAUGGUAGACUAGACUGGAGAUGGUUGACUAGACUGGAGAUGGCAGACUAGACUGGAGAUGGCAGACUAGACUGGAGAUGGCAGACUAGACUGGAGAUGGUUGAUGAUGAUAAAUCGGACCUUUUCUGAAAUACAUCUCGUUGUGUCUCG
ensembl:lncRNA